rnacentral:lncRNA from 1 species
AUGUGUAUAUUUUUUAACUCUCUCAUUCCUUCUUAUGUGUAGAACCUGUGCAGUCCCUUUCUCUCUAACCCAGGGCUUGGUUUGACAGAGGUUUGUUUAAAGCUUAUAAUAGGGCACUUACUUUCGCAAUGCAUACAAGGCCCCCCCCCGCCCUCCUUUUUGGCAAAUCUGACCACGACUCCAUUUUGCUCCUCCCUUCAUAUAUAGGCAGAAACUCAAAUAGGAAGUACCCGUGCAAAGGACUAUUCAACGCUGGUCUGACCAAUCGGGAAUGGAUGCUUCAUGAUUGUUUUGAUGUGCAGUUACUCGGUACUCGGCAAACUACCUGCCCUCCAGGACACCUACAGCACCCGAUGUCACAGAAAGGCCAAAAAGAUCAUCAAGGACAACAACCACCCGAGCCACUGCCUGUUCACCCCGUUAUCAUCCAGAAGGCGAGCUGCUGCUUUGCCAAGUCACGCUACCGCCGGCCGUACCGGCUACUGAGGAAGAUCUGUCAGUUGAUCCCCACCGUUCCGGCCUGCCUACUGGAGAUCAGCCCUGUAGCCCACCGCCUGGCCACCGUACCCUGGGACAGAACCCUGUACUACCCCUCUACGCCCUGCAGACAAUCAGAUAUUCAGAUGGAUCCUAUAGACGGAGCACAGAUCGAGGCUCAGGAGGAAACUAAAGCUGCAAAGAAGUCCAAUAGCAACAACAAUAAAGGCUCCCAUUUAGCCACAGCUCACACCUUACCUUCAUGGAGGGACCAUAAGAACAUGCCUGAGAGCACACUUCCCUCGACCCUCGCCCGCAGCCGGACACUCCCCUUGGCCCCCGCCCACAGCCAGAAGUCCACAAUAGACCUGAAUUCGCUUACUGUCUAAAGCACCCCUGGUCUCAACACAGACCCCCAGAUACUCACACUACAAGCAGACACAGGUGUGGUGGUUGGUGUCUAACUGGUUGAUUGAUUGAUUAAUUGAUUGACAGAUUGAAUUGAUUUGAUCAUUAAAAGUAGAAGGCUGCUCCAGGCAGAGACAUGACAUACAUUAAAGUGCAGUCAAACACGUGAUCUUCCUAUUUUUUUUCUAAAUAUUUCCACACUAUGAGGUCGAAAUGACACUCUAAAAUUAUGAUAUUGUCCUUUUUGUAUAAGAGCUGUUUGAAAAAAAAAUGGCUGGAAUUUGGGAUGGAGUUUUGGACCCGCCGCAUACCAUCACAAGGC